rnacentral:rRNA from 1 species
UUUCCCAGUCAMNACGUUGUAAAACGACGGCCAGUGAAUUCGAGCUCGGUAACUCGCGAAUGCAUCUAGAUUCCUACGGGAGGCAGCAGUGGGGAAUUUUGGACAAUGGGCGCAAGCCUGAUCCAGCAAUGCCGCGUGCAGGAAGAAGGCCUUCGGGUUGUAAACUGCUUUUGUCAGGGAAGAAAUCUUCUGGGCUAAUACCCCGGGAGGAUGACGGUACCUGAAGAAUAAGCACCGGCUAACUACGUGCCAGCAGCCGCGGUAAUACGUAGGGUGCGAGCGUUAAUCGGAAUUACUGGGCGUAAAGCGUGCGCAGGCGGCUUUGCAAGACAGAUGUGAAAUCCCCGGGCUCAACCUGGGAACUGCAUUUGUGACUGCAAGGCUAGAGUACGGCAGAGGGGGAUGGAAUUCCKCGUGUAGCAGUGAAAUGCGUAGAUAUGCGGAGGAACACCAAUGGCGAAGGCAAUCCCCUGGGCCUGUACUGACGCUCAUGCACGAAAGCGUGGGGAGCAAACAGGAUUAGAUACCCUGGUAGUUCCACGUCCCUAAANCGAUGUCWASCUGUGUUGUUGGACGGUCUNRACUGUUACAGUAACGAAGUCUMAACGCCGUGAAGUNGWACNCGACCUGGGGAGUAGCGGCCG